GUGGGGAAUCUUAGACAAUGGGGGAAACCCUGAUCUAGCCAUGCCGCGUGAGCGAUGAAGGCCUUAGGGUUGUAAAGCUCUUUCAGCUGGGAAGAUAAUGACGGUACCAGCAGAAGAAGCCCCGGCUAACUCCGUGCCAGCAGCCGCGGUAAUACGGAGGGGGCUAGCGUUGUUCGGAAUUACUGGGCGUAAAGCGCGCGUAGGCGGACCAGCAAGUUGGAGGUGAAAUCCCAGGGCUCAACCUUGGAACUGCCUUCCAAACUCCUGGUCUGGAGUUCGAGAGAUGUGAGUGGAAUUCCGAGUGUAGAGGUGAAAUUCGUAGAUAUUCGGAGGAACACCAGUGGCGAAGGCGGCUCACUGGCUCGAUACUGACGCUGAGGUGCGAAAGCGUGGGGAGCAAACAGGAUUAGAAACCCCAGUAGUCC
rnacentral:rRNA from 1 species